AAGCGAUACUCCACGAUCAACCUUACCACCCUUUGCCAUCAGCCUAUAUACCGCCGUCGCCAGCUUACCUUGUGAAAGCCAAAAAGUAAGCGAAAUAGCUCCUACAGCUAGAAAGUCAGGUCCAGGUGUAGCCAAUAAGGUG
rnacentral:rRNA from 1 species